CCGAAAAACCUAAGACUAACCAAAAAUCUCAUUGAUAAUGGAUUGGGCUUCAAUGAACCCAUUUAUCUUUAGUUUUGGUAAAAAAGGGAAAAACCCAAAAUUCAUUUCAAACGGAUUGGUGGGUUUUGAGUUUAAAAGAUAGAGGCAGUUCCAGUAAACUUGGGAGGGAAACACAAACAAAUCUCUCAAAGCAAAAUCCGAAAAAAAAAUAUCACCCAUUUUUUAGGCAAGCUUUACAUGAUGCUAGUCUGAGUAGGAGCAAUGAGGCUUCUGGGGUUGCCAAGUGUUUGCAAAGCACAUGCUAUACUUCAAAGCAUGAACGUUGCUGAAGUCAUUUCAUCGUUUUCGACAAUUAUAGGUAAAUCUGCUGGAAGAUUACAGUCUUGUGUAGAAUAUUCUUCUUCCACUGCUGCUAAUAAAGACACUGACAGAGAGAUUGGAAAAAUGACAUUGGCGGAGAAGUUAGCCUGUCUUGUUGAAGAAUCUUCUUGUGUUAACGAGAGAAAACCCAAGAGUCGAAUGGAGCUCAAGAGGUCUUUUGAACUCCGCAUAAAGAAGAGGGUGAAGGAGCAAUACAUGAAUCAGAAGUUUCAAGACCUAAUGGCCAAAGUGAUUGCCAAUCCAGAAACUCUUCAGGAUGCUUACAAUUGUAUAAGGCUAAACUCAAAUGUAGAUACAUCAUUAGAUUAUGACAGAACCCCAUUUGAAUCCAUUGCUGAAGAGCUUUGUAGUGGGAGUUUUGAUGUCAAUGCCAAUACCUUCUCUAUCUCAACAAAGGGUGCAAGGAAAGAAACCCUUGUCCUCCCCAAUCUAAAGUUGAAAGUUGUUCAGGAAGCCAUCAGAAUAGUUCUAGAAGUUGUUUACAAACCCCACUUUUCUAAGAUUUCUCAUGGUUGUCGAAGUGGGAGGGGACACUCCUCGGCAUUGAAGUACAUCAGCAAAGAGAUCUCUAGAACUGAUUGGUGGUUUACAUUAUGCAUAAAUAAAAAGCUGGAUGCUUGCAUUCUUGCCAAGCUCAAAUCAAUAAUGGAGGACAAGAUAGAAGAUCCCAGCUUGCAUGCUAUCAUUUGGAGCAUGUUUGAUUCCCAGGUACUCAAUUUGGAGUUUGGGGGUUUUCCUAAAGGCCAUGGUCUGCCACAAGAGGGAGUUUUGUCUCCAAUACUAAUAAAUAUAUAUCUUGACCUCUUUGACCGUGAAUUUUACAGAUUGUCAAUGAAAUAUGAAGCUCUAAAUCCAUGUUUUCAUACUGAUCAAGAUGAGUCCUAUUCCAAGCUGCGCAGUUGGUUUAGGAGACAGCUGAAAGGCAAUGAUCUCAACUGCAAAAGUGAAGAGAAUGUUAGUCUACGAGUUCAUUGUUGUCGCUUCAUGGAUGAGAUAUUUUUUGCGGUCUCUGGUUCCAAAGAUGUUGCUCUUGGUUUUAAGUCUGAGAUUCUUAAUUACUUGCAGAAUUCUUUGCACUUGGAUGUUGACAAUGAAACAGAAAUAUUACCAUGUGAGGGACCUCAGGGGAUUCGCUUUCUGGGCUAUUUGGUUAGAAGAAGAGUUAGAGAAAGUCCUGCUGUAAAAGCCAUUCACAAGUUAAAGGAAAAGGUUGAAUUAUUUUCUUUACAAAAAGAAGAGGCGUGGAAUGCCGGGACCGUUAGGAUUGGUAAGAAAUGGCUAGGUCAUGGUUUGAAGAAGGUUAAAGAGUCUGAAAUCAAGCAUUUAGCUGACAGUAAGUCUGUUUUGAGCCAAGUUUCCUGUUUUCGUAAAGCUGGGAUGGAAACUGAUCAUUGGUACAAGCUCUUACUGAAGAUAUGGAUGCAAGAUGUUAGAGCCAAAGCAGCAAAGAGCGAGGAAAUUAUCCUUUCUAAGUAUGUUGCAGAACCAUCUCUUCCUCAAGAGCUGAAGGACUCCUUUUAUGAAUUUCAGAGGCGUGCUAAAGAAUAUGUUUCAUCUGAGACAUCUUCUACUCUUGCUCUCUUGCCGAAUUCUAGCUCUAACAAAUCUGACACAAUCACAGAGAUUAUUGCUCCUGUUAAUGCUAUAAAAAAGAGGCUUUUACGAUAUGGAUUGGCUACAUAUGAAGGGUAUGCCCGUACAACUUCUCUGCUUAUUUUACAGGAUAACACCCAGAUUAUUGACUGGUUUUCAGGUAUUGUUUGCCGUUGGCUUAGAUGGUAUUGUGAAUGUGAUAAUUUUAGUGAGGUAAAGCUCUUAAUUUCUGAUCAACUUAGGAAAUCUUGCAUUCGUACUCUAGCGGCAAAAUACCGGAUAUAUGAAAAUGAUAUAGAAAAGCGAUUUGACUCAGAAUUGAGUAGGAUUCCAUCUACUGAAGAAAUAGAGCAAGAGAUGGCCAAUGAGACAUCAGAUACCCAAGCUUUUGAUAAUGACAAGGCUUUAAUGUAUGGGAUAUCUUAUAGUGGUUUGUCUUUACUUUCCCUAGCAAGAGUGGUGAGCGAGUCACGGCCUUGCAAUUGUUUUGUUAUGGGAUGUCCGUCUCCAGCACCAUGUGUAUAUACACUUCAUGUGAUGGAAAGGCAGAAGUUCCCAGGCUGGAAGACAGGGUUCUCAAGCUGUAUUCAUCCCAGCUUGAAUAGAAGGCGGAUUGGGUUGUGUAAGCAGCAUUUAAAAGAUUUGUAUCUUGGUCAAAUAUCACUUCAGUCCAUUGAUUUUGGUGCCUGGAAAUGAGUGCUUUUAGUGAAUACAUAUCGUUGAGCAGUGGAUACAUGGCCUGUUGAACACUUCUUGAUGUAUGUGGAAGCCAUUGAAGUAACAGAGGCAUUGAGAUGCUAAUAGUUUGCCCAUUUCAAAUUGUCAGCAUGGGAACAUCAGAUGUUUGACAAAUGUGGAAAAUUUUCAAACUUGAGUUAUUUUUUCAGGUUAGUAUUUGGAUUAUACAAUUUUAGAAGCAUUGAAAAGGUAUGUUUUUCACUAAUAGUGUGCUUGGAUGGGAGGCGAGGAGAAGGGAGUAGAUGGGAAGGAGGUUGGGGUUUAUACUCUCCCAAUUUGGAUGAUUUACGGAUGUGGGAAAGGACUUGAGGGGAUUUAAUGGGAUGACUUUCCCCUUCAAACCUCUUAUUUUCAAUUCCCUCAAAUCAGAAGAUUUGGAGGGGAGGGAUUCUAGACUCACUCUCAAUUUCACAAACUAAUUCCUCAACUUGGAGCUGCCAUCAAGUCAUCUUACACCCAUAACCUCCAGGUCUCUUAUGUGCUUCCAAGUCCAGAUAUUGUUUUCUAUUUGAGAACUGUGAGGGUUCUACAGAAGAUGUGUCUUGGCCUUGUUUUUGUUGGUUCUGAUGAAGCCAUUCUGAGCUUCCUUUUCAAAAAUUUCAAUUUGAAGUGUUCCUCCUUUUGAAAGUGACAUUUACUAAAAGAAAUGCAUAUUUGGUUUUCGGGGAGCUUUGAUAUCAUGGAUGAUGACAAUGAUUUUAUCGUAUCUCCUCAAACAUUCUCAAGCUCCCUCUCAAGCUGAAACAUCUUCAAAAAAGAAGAAGAAGAAAACAUGAAAAGAUGAUAAAGAUAUGGAGCAAAAUAUGAUGCUAUUCGAUAUGUAGCUUUCAGUAAUUAGGGAAGGAAAUUUAGCAAUUAGAGAAGAAAAUUCAGUUAAUGACACAACAUAGGAAUUUAGGCAAGAUUGUGAACCACGUGCUAUCUCUAUAUCAAGAAUCCAGCCAAUAAGAGGUUUUAUUGGUUAUCCAAUAAAGAGGUGCAAGGAACUAUUAUAUAUAUAUUGAUGAUGCACAAAAAAUCGUUCGUGAACCAAUGGUCCAAAUGGAGAGCUUUAGAAGAAUUGCAAAGAUGAACACACUAUCGGAAGCAUUAGUGUGGGGCCGGCCCAUCAGCCGAUGACUCUCCGAUGAGUAAGUCAGUACUCAUAAAAUCUUGAAGAACUCUAGAAGCAUAAGGGUAAGGAAAUUCCACUCAUACCUUAGAACAGAGGAGGUCUGGUGUUUAUAUGGUGGCCUAGAGUUGAUUGCGUUUCCAUAAUUUAGCCACUUUCUUUAUAGUAAGUGUGAUAGGAGGAGCGGAGUUAAUAGCACUGAGAUUCUCGGAGUUCACUUCCCAUGUUCAGAGGAUACAGGUUGGUGGAUGGAUCUUUUGGUGUAGUGCGUAAGAGUUUUCAUAUGCAUAGACGUGGAGUGGAAGGCACACACUUGCAACGGAUGACUAAGGUGUCAUUGGUUGGCUGGGGUGCCAUCGGAUGGCUAACCUGAGUUCACCUCUCUUUGAUGCCUGAACUUUAAGUUGAGCUGAAAGUAGUAGAUAUCUGCUUGAAAACAAGGGAAUGUAGCUACACUUUGACAAUGAAUGUGCAUCAACUGCGUCUGGGGUCAGUCCCUUCUCUUUGUGAUUUCAUAUUUUGGUUUCAAUUAAUAGAAUGUAUUUUCCAACUUUUUUACUUGAUUUGUUCCCCCAAGCAGCACACACACAUAUAUAUGUUGAAGAUAUUAAUAGUAGUAUCCAUUAGUAAUUAA